GAAAACAAGACUUCCAAGAUGGUGAUGUGGGGGUGUAUGAUUUAGCUCUAGUGAAGAGUCUGAUAGAUUAUCAAAGGAAAAAGAGCAUAUUGUUGUUGAGUAAUUAAAAAGGAUUGUUAAAAAAUUGAUAGCAUUGAAUUAGAAUGCUUUUUUUAAAAAAAAAUGAGAAAAGGUUGUUUCGAACAAAAAAUGCAAAAUAUUUCAA
rnacentral:lncRNA from 1 species